UCCUCUGCAAAGGGGAGCUUCUAAAAUUCACUUUUCACCAGUGUCAUUGCUUUUACAUUACCCCCCCACCCCCUCAAGUUUAGGUUUUUUCUUUUUAUGUAUAAAAAGUUAGCAUGUUUAAAUCCUUUGCAUAUUUACCAUUUACAAUAUACAAGUAAAACGUCCCUUCAGUAAUCUGAUGAAAUAAACACCAUUGAAAUGCCAGAUACCUCUGUAGUUCUGAAACACAUUCAACGAAGGUCAUGCUGAUUAAAUGUGCCCACACACACAUACAGUACACACACAUUUACACCUGAGCAGAACGACUCAUGCACUUUCAACUGUAUGCGCUUCCUCUGCAAUACACCAAAUAAAAUAUAUCCUUCAAAUAUCUGCAUUGGGAAGUCAACAUAACACAUAAUUACAGUAUUUAUGUCAGUGCAUACUGUGGCAGGCGAAGCUAUUAUUAUACAGUCUGUCAAAAAAAAAAAAUAUAUAUAUAUCAGGCACUAUAAAUUCCUAUUGCACCCUUGAAAUCUUUAAAGCUUACAAUAUAUAUUUCACUUGCUUUACAUACGACACACAUCAGUCAGUAGGUUCCAAAACCACAGCAAAUGUACAGUUUUUUCAGUUGAACCUGACAUCCUUUUGACCAAUGAAAUUGUAGUUGUGCAAUAUUCCCCAUCAAGCCUUCGAUACUGCAAUUCCAAAUGCCAUGUACAUCCACACAUACACUUAUAAAUAAUGUUGGUCUCAACAAAAGGACAUUAAAAGAUUACUUAACAUGAACACGAUUGUGUUUCAAGUUCAAACUUGCUGCAAUUCUCCAUGCAGCACCUUCACAGCCCCGUGGUCUCGGUUUCUCUCUGAAGUAUUUCAGUCAGUCGACUUUUGAGGAUGUAAAACACAGAGAGUUUGUGCUAAUGUGCAAAUUAUCACUAAUUCACAUCAACAGCGCCCUCUAUUGAGAGUCGCCUACCAUUAGCAUUAAGGUGCUAUCUGUGCUCUUGCUAGCAUCACGAAAUGAACCAAUUUUGAAAUGUCACAUCGGAAGACCAGAUUUACAACAACAACAAAAA